rnacentral:lncRNA from 1 species
GAUGGUAUCUCAUUGUGGUUUUGAUUUGCAUUUCUCUGAUGGGUCUAUUUAUUUAAAACAAAGGGAGGGAAGUCUCAUUUACAUUCGUUUUUUUCAUAGCCUUUUGAACUUUGCAAUUUCUAUGUUUCAGAACCUAUUUCUUACAGUUUUUCUAUGCUAAACUCUGUCCUGGUCAGUUCUAGAGUGUAUGAAGAACCAAAUGAUGUAACUGUAUGCGACCUGGCUGUAGUGGAACAAAUUUGACUCUUAAGUAUGCAGGCUCUAAUUUUCCUGUCUGGUUUUGUCUAGGGAGAUGACUCAUCAGAAAAAGAAGAAAAAAGAGGUAUUUGGAAAUUGUGCAAAUUAAAGCAGCCCCUGAUGCCAAAGUCUACACAUUCCUGAGUGAGUCAGUUCUGGCCAGUUC